rnacentral:hammerhead_ribozyme from 1 species
AUCCAUCUGGCGAGUCCCGAAUAGGUUGAAACGCGCGUCGUGGAU